AUGAGAGGAGGCCUCUUAAAUCCAAACAAUCAGAACUCUGUCUUUCUCGUUUUUUUUUUUAAUCUAAACAACGUUUAUUCGUUGAGUCAGCUGGAUACCUGUUGGACAGGGUCAGAGCAGUCAUCAAAACAACCCUUUGGCCUGCUUCUGCCGUGUGGCCCAGAGGGGAAUUGGAUCAUUGAUUUCAUUAGCAUUGGGAACUUUGGUAUGGGGAAGUCCAAGCAAGAAAACUCUCUGUACCAGAACAGAAUAGCACCUGCUCUGCAAUUUUUCCUCUUCUAGUGUUGCUGGGAAGUGGUUUACCCAGUUACUUAGUCAGUAGGUACCUAACUGUUCUCUUUCUCCACUUCCUUUUAAUGAUCUGUUCAUUUACAUUGUUGAAUUUAUUCAUAUAAUUUUGUUCUUUUGGCUCUUUUUAUUUUACUCUGCAUCAGUUCACACAAAUAUUCUGAGAUCUCUUUGAAUUUUCCAUAUUUAUAAUUUCUUGUUGUACAGCAAUAAAAUAUUCCUACAUAGCUUUUUUGGGGUCA
rnacentral:lncRNA from 1 species